AGAGCGAACGCUGGCGGCAGGCUUAACACAUGCAAGUCGAGCGGGCGUAGCAAUACGUCAGCGGCAGACGGGUGAGUAACGCGUGGGAACGUACCUUUUGGUUCGGAACAACCCAGGGAAACUUGGGCUAAUACCGGAUAAGCCCUUACGGGGAAAGAUUUAUCGCCGAAAGAUCGGCCCGCGUCUGAUUAGCUAGUUGGUGAGGUAAUGGCUCACCAAGGCGACGAUCAGUAGCUGGUCUGAGAGGAUGAUCAGCCACAUUGGGACUGAGACACGGCCCAAACUCCUACGGGAGGCAGCAGUGGGGAAUAUUGGACAAUGGGCGCAAGCCUGAUCCAGCCAUGCCGCGUGAGUGAUGAAGGCCCUAGGGUUGUAAAGCUCUUUCGCUCGGGACGAUAAUGACGGUACCGAGAUAAGAACGCCCGGCUAACUUCGUGCCAGCAGCCGC
rnacentral:rRNA from 1 species